GAAAGGACUCAUUGCUCCUAUUUGUUUUUUUGUCAUUCUCCUUUCCAAACAAUUAAAACAUAAAGAUCUCUUGAUUCAGUGAUGUUGGUCACUGUCAGAUCCCGUAUCAUAUCCUUUCAAUAUUCUUAUCUCCGUCACUGGUUUACUUUCAUUAUCUCACCUCUUCGUGGUAUCGACACCCAAAUGGACUGACAUGAAAUCAUGCAUAAGAACAUAUUUAUGUAUAAUUUUUAUACUACUUGUUGAGUUCAUUUUGAACUAUUCUCAAUAGAUUGGAAAAAAAAGUAUUGUUUUUGGCAUUGUCUCUACUAUUUCAUAAUUCAUUAAGAGUUGUCUGACAUGCUGAUGUUAAUGUUGUGGAUGCAAGUCCUGUCCAUAACAGUAAGUGUCAUCUACUAGGAACUACAUUGUUCAUUUUAAAGUCUUAAGGCCAGUCUUUCACAUCUCAACCAAAACAAAUGAAGUGGGUCUAGUAAGGUCAAUAAGGUAAAUAUAGUAAGGUCAACCGUUAAAUAUUGUGCCAGGAAAUUACUGAUCAAGAAGUAUGGUAAGUGAUCUGAUUGUGUUCUAGCACUGGACGUUCUUGUGAAAAGUUAAGAAAGAAAGAGCCUUGCUGGUUGGUACGGCCUGACAAUCAGAGGGGGAAAGCCAUGAACUACGGGACA